AAAGUCGGUAACACCCGAAGCCGGUGGCCUAACCCUUGUGGGGGGAGCCGUCGAAGGUGGGACCAGCGAUUGGGACUAAGUCGUAACAAGGUAGCUGUACCGGAAGGUGCGGCUGGAUCACCUCCUUUCUAAGGAGCAU
rnacentral:rRNA from 1 species